UACGGAGGGGGCGAGCGUUAUUCGGAAUUAUUGGGCGUAAAGGGCGCGUAGGCGGCUUGAUGUGUCAAAGGUGAAAUCCCUCGGCUCAACUGAGGAACUGCCUUUGAAACUGUCUGGCUUGAGGCCGGGAGAGGGUAGCGGAAUUCCCAGUGUAGCGGUGAAAUGCGUAGAUACUGGGAGGAACACCGGCGGCGAAGGCGGCUACCUGGACCGGAACUGACGCUGAGGCGCGAAAGCGUGGGUAGCAAACAGG
rnacentral:rRNA from 1 species